UAUAUUUUUAAAAUAAUUUUAUAAGCAACAAAUAAACUAUAGUAAGACUACUAAAUAAAUGAUACAUUAAAGUGGUUAAAAUAAAAAUUAAUUUUAAAAAAUAAAUUAAACAUGAUUACUUAUAAAGUUAUAACCAAUACUCUAUCUAUGACAUAUCCUUUUUUUGUAAAUAUUUAUAAUUAUAAAUAAUAUUACUAGUUAUUAUUUAAGAAAAUAAAAUAAAUUUUUGAUUGUGGAGCAAUUUUAUGGUAUUUGUGGUGUUCUUGACUGUAUGACUAGGUUUGUAGAAAUUAUUAAUUGGUUAGGAGAAUUCAUAGUGAAUAUUGACAAGUAACUCACGUAACUCGGAAGAAAUCAAGGAUUUUGAAAUUUAGUCAGAGUUGAAGUUUUGAAGUAUUUAAUCAAUAAGCUAAAAAUGAUGGUCAUGGUUGGUAUUUAAAGUAAAUUUGAUUCAGCAAGAAAAAUAAUAUAAUUCAUUUCUUUUAUUAUGUUUGCACGUAUAUGUUCAUCAAACUCCCUUAACUUUAUUGCAAAUUGUUCAUCAAACAAAUCACAAUCAUCUUUCACACGUUCAGAUAAAACAGUUUCAAUGAUUUCAAAUGCAUCUAUCAUUUGUGUUUCAACAAUUCUCAUAUUUUUCAUGGGUUUCAAUUUCAAUUGAUUAAUUGUUUAAUGUUUUCUCUAACUCCAGGAAAAUAAAUUCUAAAAUCAAAUUUAUAGUAUUUUUAUAAAAAAAAACAGGGUUCUAGGUUAUGCAUAAUAUAUUUUCUUAUUCCUAUAUAUCUACUGGUAAAAUAAAAGACCAUACAACACAGUGUAUACUAAAAAGUAAGGGAUAACUGACAAUUAUUUAAGCUUUUGAACACACAAACACCAGUUCUUCUGAGUUCUGACCAUUUCAUUUUAAAAUUAAGCUUGAUAAAUUAUACCUUAAUUUUAAUACAUUUUUAGGGGUUAUUGUCUGAGCGAGCAUACAAAAUAAAAUAUGUAUUACAACAUUUUUCAAUUUUAAAUAUUAUUCCCAAUAAAGUUCUAAUUGAUUUUUUACAACUUUAAUAUAGCAAUGAUUAUAUAUCAAAAGUAGAUUUUUGAAUAAAUACCAAAUAGUAAUCAAGCGCUCACACUAUUUGAAUAUAAAAUAGAAUAGAAAUAUAUAACUUAAUUUCUAAGACUUAGCUGCUUCUAUAAAAACUAAAGUCCUAAUGCCAAUUCUAAGAACAUUAUAUGAACAAUUUGAUUUUAUACUCUUGAAAAGUAGUAAAACUGUCACUUGAAUUUUUUUGCCUUUUACCAGUUGAUAUUAUACUAAAAAAAUGUUUGUGUCAUGUUUCACAGAAAUAAUUUAUAAUAAAGUACAUACCUACCUAAUGCCUGAUAUAUAUUUAUAUAUUAUUAAAUAUUAUGUACUGUCUUCAAAAGUUUAGGUACUUAUGUAAAAUAAUAAGAUCUUAAGACGUGUCACGUGAAUGCACUAUAUAAGUAGGUAUGUAUGCGACUGCUGUAAUAGCGUUAUGCUAAAUGCUGACCUGCUGUACAGUCGGCAUUUACUACAACUGCAAAUGUCUGAUAUCAGCGAUGAGUGAAUUACUGAACUUCACUCAGAAUUCAGUGGAAUUCACAUGAACAUAAUAUAAACAUUGCAGUCAUUGCACGAUAAAUAUUUAUAUUAUGAUACAUGUGGGACGUCAGCUGGCAAGAACUGUUAUCAGCAAGAUAUGGAGUUCAUUGAAGAAAAUAUUAGUGUUAAUGAAAAAGAUGCAGAUGUCAGUUAUAAACUAAUUUACCUAAAAGAUGACCAGGUGGACACAAGUUCAAUACAAAACAAGGAAACUCUAUCUCAAAAAAGGAUCUCACCGUAAAAAUUCUGGUGACUUACUUGAUGGACUCUUUUAAUAAAACUAAGGAAGGGCAUAAAGAUCUUAUUAAAGAAAAAAAUGGGAGGAAGAACUAUUAAAAUCUGACCAAGAACAAACGCAAAAAGAUAACAGGAAUUUAAUAGCCUACUGACCACUUUACUCAAGCUUAAAGAUUAAUUAUUUACCUUAUAUAAUUAACAUUAUGUAUAUAUUUUUAAAAUAUCUAAAAAAAUUGUAAACCAAAGACUGGGAAAUAAUGCAAUAAGAUAUAAAAUUAUUAAGUUAUUAAAUGUAUUCUGUUUUUAAAUGUUUAAUAAAUAUGUUUUAAAGUUUUAAA